UCAGGUUUGUUUGUAGAUAUGAAUAUGAAAUAUUUUUUAUCCGUGUUAAUUAAUAUAUUAUUUAAAGUUUGAUUUUGGCUUAUAUACUUAAUUUUUAUUAAUAUUAUAAUAUGAAAUUUUUAUAAAUUAAUUUAAGAUCAGUUAUUAAAAUUGUUUGAAUUAAUAUAAUUAUUGAUGAAAAUAUAAUAAUAUAUGAUGGGAUAAUUAUGUGCCAGCAUCCGCGGUUAUACUAAUAUAUUUAAAUUAAGUUUUAUUGGUUAAUAUUUUAUUUUUUUUAAAUGAUAUGGAUAUUAUAAUAAUUUAAAAGUGAAAUUUAAAUAUAGAAUUUUAUUUUAAGAUUAUAUGAAAUUUUUUUUUAAACUAGGAUUAGAUACCCUAUUAUAAUGAAUUUAAAUUUUAUACUAAGAGAUUAGGAGUUAAGGUCUUUAAAUUUAAAGAAUUUGGCGGUAAAUUAAUUUGACUAGAGGAAUUUGUUUAUUAAUAGAUAAUACACAAUUUAUCUUUCUUUAUUUAUUAUUAAUAAUAAUUUAUAUAUCGUCGUUUAGAAUAUUUUUAUAGAAUUAAUUUUCUUUAAUUAUAAUUAAUUAAAAAUCAGAUCAGGAUGUAGUUUAUAUUAAAGAAUAAAAUGAGUUACAUUUUUGAUAAAGAAUUAUGAAUAAUUUUUUGUAAUGAAAAUUUGAAGGAGGAUUUAGAAGUAAUAAUAUAUUAAUAUGAUUUUAUGAAUAUUUAUUAUACUAAUUUAUGUACAUAUUGCCCGUCACUUUCAUUAAAAACUUAAAAUGAAAAAAGUCGUAACAAAGUAGAGUUACUGGAAAGUGGUUCUAGAUUGA
rnacentral:ncRNA from 1 species